AGGGAAAGGAAGUUUGCAGGAGGCCCACCCAGCUGCCAGAGCUCUCCCAGGCGUGCAGAGCCAUCAGGCCCAGGCUAUGAGGACAGUGUGCCUCGUCUGGGAGACCCCCCCAGGGAUUCAGCCCUGAGGAGAGAUGCUUCCCUGGCCUCACAGACUGCACAAGAACCGUGGCCAUUGCACUCCGUGCCAAAGGGCAGCUUGGAAAAGUGAACUCUCGAGAGAAAUGAAGAUUCGACCUCAAAGGAACUUACGGCCUGUGCAGAUGUAUUUUUUUCUAGUGGAGGGUACGUAGAGGCCACAAGGCCCCACUAGCCUCUGUCUGAGGCAGAGUACAGACAAGCGGGCUGCAGCACCUCUUCUCACAGACAGCUGCCACCCAGACAACGUUCUUGGUCCCACCAUGAGGGGAACACUGGAGGCUCAUUUCUCUGCCUUUCAGGGUGUGAAGUUAGGACGCUCCAACAUUAGAAUCAGAUGUAAGAAGACAAGACACGUGCUGGCAUUUAAUUUUGUUUUUAAUUAAAAAAAAUGUCUAUUUUUAAGAGAGAGAGCACACAAGCUCUCUUGUGUGGGGAGGGGCAGAAGAGAGGGAGACACAGAAUCUGAAGCAGGCUCCAGGCUCUGAGCUGUCAGCACAGAGCCGGAUGCAGGGCUGGAAUCCACGAACCGCGAGAUGACGACCUGAGCCGAAGUUGGAUGCUUAACCGACUAAGCCAUGCAGGUGCCCCGAAUUUUCUGUUUUUGAGAGAGAGAGAGAGAGAGAGAGAGAAUGAAUGAUCAGGGGAGGGGCAGAGAGAGAGAGAGAGAAUCUCAAGUAGGCUCCAAUCUAUCAGCACAGAUCCCAACGCAGGACUGGAACCCAUGAACUGAGAUCAUAACCUGAGCUGAAACCAAGAGUCGGACGCUUAACUGACUGAGCCAUACAGUUGCCCUGAAAAGCAUAAUGUUCUUUAACAUAACUAAGAUUUGAAAAUGAAAGUAAGUUUUUCCGCACAUUUACGAAUUACGUUUGUGUUGUUGGCAUCUUGUCUGUUUCACAGUUCUGACUGCCCACGUCUCCACCUCCUGAGUCCUCACUCCCAUGAGUCUCGCGAGGCUCCUCUGUGGAUGGGUGUGCAAGAGCCACAGCCCCGAACCGCAAGUCUCUGUGAUCAGGAUGUACCCAUGGAAAUGACAAAUAAAUUCAGAUAUUAA